rnacentral:rRNA from 1 species
UUGGGCGCAAAGCGCGCGUAGGCGGUUUAUUAAGUCUGAUGUGAAAGCCCACGGCUCAACCGUGGAGGGGCAUUGGAAACUGGAAGACUUGAGAGCAGAGGAGGAAAGUGGAAUUCCAUGUGUAGCGGUGAAAUGCGCAGAGAUAUGGAGGAACACCAGUGGCGAAGGCGACUUUCUGGUCUGUAACUGACGCUGCUGUGCGAAAGCGUGGGGCUCAAACAGGAGUAGAUACCCUGGUAGUCCACGCCGUAAACGAUGAGUGCCCAGUGCGAGGGGGUUCGCGCCCCUCCGUGCCGCCGCCCACGACUCCUGCACUCCGC